rnacentral:sRNA from 1 species
UUCCAGGGUUAUGUUGCAAGACUUGUGC